rnacentral:misc_RNA from 1 species
CUGUUUUUACAUAGUCUCAUCUAAGCUUGAUUCAAUACAAACAUACAUCAAAAAAUAAAAAAAAAUUGGCAUUUUCUCUGUGCAGAAUGGCCUGGGAUCUUGAGUGCCUAACUAGGCCCAUUUUGCCAUUAAUGACAUGCCUCCAGCGCCUAGUAGCACUGCCAUAUCUGCCUGUAUCUGAAGUCUCACACUUUUCUGUAGUUCAGGUCCCAUAGACUCAGCUGAUAAGAGAACCACCAGUGCCAUAUAAUUCAGUAAUCCUGCGGAUGAAGCAUUUAGGGCUCCCACCACAAUCAGUGCUGGAGGACUGUUGUCGCUAUAUACAUUCGACAAACCAAUUCCUAACACAAUACCAAGGGGAGUUGUGGCUGAGAACAAAAACACCAUGAUUGCAUUCAUCUUCAAUCCGUAUUCAGCCUCAGCACCGAUGCACUUAUCAAUUAGAUAUCUCUUUACUACAUUACUAGAGCUUUUGAUUGUGUAAAUUUGAAAGGAAGGGACUGGUUUCUUACCUGCAAUAUGCAUUCUCCAAGACCCAUUCCUUCAAAUAGUUGAUGGAAACAGAGUGCAGCAAUAAGUGGCCUGAUCGCGCAUGGAUUGUCAGAGGCUCCCGUUGACAGACCAAUCACUGUCGAGUGCAGUACAAUUCCAAUUUCCAAUACCCGCAUGUGCGGUCCAAUAUUUAUAUGAAAUGAUAAAUUGGAAACAACAGUUUCUGCCAUAUAUAUAUAUAUAUGACCAAUAUUUUUAUUUAUAUACCUGAGCCACAACGCGAUGCCGUAACAACGGCGCCGAAUCCUGGUUAUUCGGCCCCUGAUCCUCAACCUUAACAUUCACCGACUCUCCAUAUCGAUUUCGCCCUUUUUCAUGAUCACCACCUUCAGCUACACCAUUCAAACGCUUCCAAUAAUAGCUCAUCGCAGACGAGUCCACCAUAAGCGUCGCGAUAGCUCAUAACAUGGCCGCGAAUGUCGUGAACGGGAACUUCUUCCAAGGAUUUUUUGGCAAACACUCCGAAGUCAAGCAGUUGAAGGAGUCUGGCAACACAUGCAUGUACCCUGUAGCUAGGAUAACGCCUGAAGCAAACGCUUUAACGAUUGAAAACAAAUUUUUAUCAGGCCUAAGGGCAGGGACUGCAGUCGAAAACAAUGGUAAACACACCCCAACCAUGGUAGUGAUCAGAAUUGAAGCUAUUGCAAUGAGCUUAAGCUUCAAGGAUUUCGCCUUGUCGUGGCACCCUCCACCGGCUUUGGAAAGGCAUUGUUCUGCAAAUGCCGGACAUGUGAAAGAGAAAAUGAGGAGAGAAAUAGUGAUACUUGCAUUGAACUUCGCAGACGAGGCCAUGGCUAGUUAUAUUAAGGCUAGUAAGCUUGAAGAAAGCUACCAGUGCAGUAUGCGUCAAUGGUGAAUGAUUUUCCUGGUAGUGAAUUCGCACAUAUAUGCUUGUUGGUGGGUCUCCAUCCACUACCUGAUUUGAAGUGUUCAAACUUCGAAGCUGCAAUCAGAAUCAUGAAAUGUCAAGACUACCCUUGACAGAGCCUCGAGUGGCUUUGGUUGCAAGAGAGGGAGAGAAACGUAAAUUCUUAUAUAACGAUGGGUAUUCUGGAGAGCUUGCUGUCGGAAGUAGAAACCUCGUGGUUGGCUUGUGUCAGCGUAUUACACCAGUGUACGCUUGACAACUAUCUUACCUGACGUGGCAAAUCCCAAUCACGCCGCCUUAUCUGUUUGUCUCAAAACUUGAAAAACUCAGUUCUACAAGCUAUCAUUCCGCCCACCUUCAAGCCUUACUCUCUCUUAUCAAUUCUCUUAUCAAUCGAAGCCUCAGAUAUUACUCGCAAGCAAUCUCUUGAUUUCGCCAUCUAUUAAUCUUCAUUCUCUCCACUGACACUCGCAUUCCCCAGCAGAAACAGUGCCAUUCACAUCAAUCUUCUUCGCCGCCCUGCAAUUCUAAACCCCAAUUUCAAGUUCUUCAUCUUUUUUUUUUUUAAUUUUCUUCUGCAUUUUAUUUCUUAGUGUACUUGUGUGAUUUAAUGUGUAUUGCUGUCGAUUGGUUAGGUUUGUGGAAGCGGUGAGAUUUGAUGGUCCGAUAAUGGAUAUUGAGGAUUUGGAAGAUGAUGAGGAUUGGGAGUUGGUGAUAGAGACCUGCAUUACGCGUAAUCCGUCUCCGGCUGUGACGCUGGAGCGCGGUCUUCAGAGUAUUAGAGAGGCUGUGGAAGAAUUGAGGUUGAAUCAUCCUCCUAGCAGUGGAAUUUUGAGAUUUCAGGUUGCUGUGCCUCCCAGUCCAAAAGCUUUGAAUUGGUUCUGCUGUCAACUGGAAUCAUCUGGAGUGUUUCCUCAAUUUUUUGUUUCUAAGGAGACUGAAAAUCCAUCAUGUAAAUCCCUUUAUCUGAACAGAACACGUGGAGUUUUUGGAAUUGGAGCUGCAAUUUAUUUUGUACAGUCUUCUUCUCAUACAUCAGGCAAUCAGAGUUCAAUAAGAAGGUAUGUCUCAAGUGAUUCUAUCAACAUAGCAACUUAUGGUUUUAUGGAUAUUAAAUUUGACACAGCAUCAUCUUCAAUUAAGCACGAGGCUGGUUCAUUUUAUCUUGUAAUUCCUGAGAUUGAAUUAGAUGAGCACGGGGAUAUCUCCAUUUUAUCAGCAACACUGGCAUGGGAUGAUGCAUACUUUUGUACAUUUAAACAGGCAAUUCAAUCUUUUGAGUCUUCAAUUUACCAGGCCGGGUAUCAUUUUUGCCCAACUGUAGAGAGAUGCUGCUCUAAUUACACAAGGUCUGCUUUCAAUAAGCUCAAAUUGGUGGAGGAUAAAACCCUUCAAAUGGUUUCUUCAAAUGCUCUGUUGCUGGACGGAAGGGAUUAUCAGAAUGACCUCUUGGAACUGGUAUCUCCUUUCUCCUGAGAGGGACCGCAUUUUUCUGUCAAUUUUAUUUCCGGCUUUCACCAACACUUGCUGUUUCCAAUAACAUGUUGGAUCACGCCUGUGAAACAAGUUACUCCUUGCCAGAAUGUGCAAACAUCAAUGCAGUUUGGGCAUCACUUAUCGUGGAAGAAUGUUCUCGUCUCGGGCUAAUGUACUUUUGCAUUGCACCAGGAUCAAGAUCAUCCCCCCUUGCCAUUGCUGCUUCCACUCAUCCCCUAACAACAUGUAUUGCUUGCUAUGAUGAGCGCUCGCUGGCAUUUCAUGCUGUUGGUUAUGCAAGAGGUUCUCGUAGUCCAGCAGUUGUCAUAACAUCUUCAGGAACUGCGGUUUCAAAUCUUUUUCCUGCUGUUGUGGAAGCGAGUCAAGAUUUUGUGCCGCUUAUCUUACUUACUGCAGAUCGUCCUCCUGAGCUUCAAAAUGCUGGGGCAAAUCAAUCAAUCAAUCAGGUGAAUCAUUUUGGUUCUUUUGUGAGGUUCUUCUUCAGUCUUCCCACACCCACUGAUGAUAUUCCUGCACGGAUGGUGCUUACAACUCUUGACUCUGCUGUUCAUUGGGCAACCUCUUCUCCAUAUGGCCCUGUUCAUAUUAACUGUCCUUUUAGAGAGCCGCUGGAUGAUUUUCCAAACAAAUGGACAUUGGGCUGUUUGAAGGGAUUAGAUAAUUGGAUGUCUAGUGGUGAUCCAUUCACUAAAUAUAUUCAAAUGCAAAAUUCCCUUGCAUGCAAUGGUAAUGCUCCUAUCCCAAUGAAGCAAGUUCGUGAAAUAAUUCAAGGGGGUAAAAGGGGCCUUCUACUUGUUGGUGAAAUUCAUACAGAAGAUGAGAUAUGGGCAGCUCUCCUCUUGGCUAAACAACUUAAUUGGCCAGUUGUAGCUGACAUCUUGUCAGGUUUACGAUUAAGAAAGCUCUCAUCUUAUUUUCCCAAAGACGAAGAGAAUGUUUUAUUUGUUGAUCAUCUAGACCAUGCUCUGCUCUCGGAUUUGGUCAGAGUUUCGGUACAGUUUGAUGUAGUUAUUCAGAUUGGAAGUCGGAUAACAAGCAAACGCAUUUCUCAGAUGCUGGAAGAGUGCUGUCUGUGCUCUUAUAUUGUAGUUGACAAUCAUCCAUUCCGUCAUGAUCCAUCACAUUUUGUAUCUCAUAGGGUGCAUUGCUCCAUUCUUCAUUUCGUUGACAGUUUAAUAAAAGCUCAAUUUCCAUGUAGAAGCAGCAAAUGGUGUGGUUAUCUGGGAGCUGUGGACAAGAUGGUUGCAUCAGAUAUAUCAUUUCAAAUUUUUGCAGAAAACUCUUUGACUGAGCCGCAUGUUGCACAUGUAAUUUCAGAAGCACUUUCAGCUGACUCUGCUCUUUUUGUUGGCAAUAGCAUGGCGAUACGUGAUGCAGACAUGUAUGGAUAUAGUCAUAAAAACCAUAUUCAUGGCAUUGCAGACAUGAACUCAGAAAUUCAGUGUCUUGGGAUUCGGGUGGCUGGAAACAGGGGAGCUAGUGGCAUUGAUGGUUUGCUUAGCACAGCAAUUGGUUUUGCAGUUGGGUGCAACAAAAGAGUACUUUGCAUGAUUGGAGAUGUUUCCUUCCUUCAUGAUACGAAUGGCUUGUCAAUUUUCAACCAAAGGAUGCCAAGAAAGCCAAUGACGAUACUUGUGAUAAACAAUCAUGGUGGAGCAAUCUUCAGCCUCCUUCCUAUCGCAGAUGGGACUGAUCAAAAAAUAUUGAAUCAGUACUUCUACACUUCCCAUAACAUUUCAAUUCACAAACUGUGUAUGGCGCACGGGUAAAAACCCGCAUCAGUUAGCUGGUUAUAUUUGAAAUAUGUUAUCUGAGAGUGUUAUUGUGAUGUUCAUGUAAAACAUGGCCUUGCCUCAUAUUAUGUAUGUUUUAACCCUAUUUCUACCUUUUGUUUGAUUUACUUUCUCAGGAUAGUGGUAACAACCAUAUGAUUUGUAUUUUAUGUGAAAUGAAAAUCACUGUUUUAAUUGUAACAACUCCCAAAUUCAUAUGACUUUAUGACUCGGAAAAAAAAGUACCACAAGACUAUGGUGUAUCAAAUAAUGAUCUUUGUAUGAAAAGCCAAGUAAUAUCUGAUAUAUUCUUCUGAAAAUUUUUUAAGGAUAUAUAUACUGACGAUUAGUUGAAUAGGCUUGUGAGAUUUGAUGGCUCUGUUGUUUUUGGUGGAACAACUUUUAUAUGGUUCCUUUCUGAAUCCAACUUGAGCUCAGUAAAUGUAUUGCAUUAUGCCACUCUGUAGCUUUAUCUUUUUUGCUGCCAUAAGCAUGAUUCCUUUCUGGCUUCAAUAUAAUCACAUUAAAUGAUGCAGUGUGAGACAUUUACAAGUGAAAACGAAAGUGGAACUUCGAGAUGCUUUGCUAGUAUCUCAGCAUCAGAAAACAGAUUGUGUAAUUGAAGUGGAGAGCAGCAUUAGUGCCAAUGCAAUCUUCCACAGCACAUUAAAAAAAUCUGGAUGCCAAGCAGCGGAUCAUGCUUUAAGCAUUCUUUCAAGGCUUUGUGUUCCAUAUUCAGUUUUAGAUGGCCUCUAUCUUUGCAAAAUCCUCAAAAUGGAAUACUCACUGUACAGAAUUCAACUACGUGCUCCUCCUACUUCUGCUUCAGUAGAUCAUGAUCAUAGUAAGUUCCAUAAGGAAGGUUACAUUUUACUAUUGUCUCUUGAAGAUGGAAGCGUUGGGUAUGGUGAGGUUGCACCUCUUGAAAUCCAUAAAGAAAAUUUGCUGGAUGUAGAAGAGCAACUUCGAUUUCUUCUUCAUGUGAUUAAAGGAACUGAGAUUAAUUUAUCACUUCCUCUGCUGAAGGGAUCAUUUUCCACUUGGAUAUGGAACAACUUAGGAAUCCCGGAAAAUUCAAUCUUUCCUAGUGUCAGAUGUGGUUUAGAAAUGGCUAUCCUCAAUGCUAUUGCAGAAAGCCAUGGUUCCAGUUUACUAAACAUAACGCGGCCCCAAAAAGAAAAAGAAGAAAUUUAUGAAACGUCAAAUGUUAAGAUAUGCGGGCUAAUUGAUUCUACUGGGACUCCUGCUGAGGUUGCCUUUAUUGCUUCCUCUCUUGUUGAAGAGGGAUUUUCUGCAUUAAAGCUUAAAGUUGCACGUCGGGAAGAUCCUAUUCAAGAUGCUGCAGUUAUACAAGAAGUAAGAAAGAAGGUUGGCAGGCAGAUUGAACUCCGUGUGGAUGCCAAUAGAAACUGGUCCUAUGAAGAGGCUAUUAGAUUUGGCUCUUUGGUGAAAGAUUGUGACCUGCAGUACAUUGAGGAACCUGUUAAGGAUGAAGAUGAUAUUAUAAAGUACUGUAAAGAAAGUGGCUUACCUGUCGCGCUUGAUGAAACUAUUGACAACUUUUGUGAAAAUCCUCUUGAUAUGCUGGUGAAGUAUGCUCACCCUGGAAUAGUUGCUGUGGUUAUCAAACCAAGUGUUGUUGGUGGGUUUGAGAGAGCAGCAUUAAUUGCGCAGUGGGCCCACCAGCAGGGUAAGAUGGCCGUUGUCAGUGCUGCAUUUGAAAGUGGCCUAAGUUUGUUAACCUAUAUUCAGUUCUCCUAUUACCUAGAGCUGCAGAAUGCAGAUAUCUGCAGAGUUAUGAACUAUAAAUUGAGGCCAUCUGUAGCCCAUGGUCUUGGAACUUAUCAAUGGCUUAAACAAGACAUAACAACUAAAACUCUGGGGAUUCAUCGCGAUCCAUGUAGUGGCUUUAUGGGAGCAUCUAUUGCUGGUGCCAUUCAACUCUUGCAGGGGUUUCAAAUCAACCAGAGUGUUAUUCACAGAACUUUUACUGGGGAUCAAGUUCGUACUUACCAUUUGGCUGUGAAUUCAAAGGAUUUCUCUGGCUCCAUCAAAGUGCAAGAGGUUGGAGAAACGAACAAUGACAAUGUUGUUAUAUUUCUUCAUGGUUUUCUCGGAACUGGUGAAGACUGGAUCUCUAUCAUGAAAGCCAUCUCAGGAUCUGCAAGAUGUAUUUCAAUUGAUCUUCCUGGCCAUGGGAGAUCAAGGAUGAAAAAUUGUGGUUGUAAAGAUGCCAAACAGGAAGCGACAUUGUCAGUUGAGAUAGUUGCACAUUUAUUUUAUAACUUGAUUCAAGACAUAACUCCUGGAAAGGUUGCCCUUGUUGGAUAUUCAAUGGGUGCAAGGAUUGCACUGCACAUGGCACUGAGACAUGGUGAUAAGAUCAGUGGAGCUGUUAUAAUAUCUGGUAGCCCUGGAUUGAAGGAUGGGAUGGCUAGAAGAAUUCGUUGGGCUAAAGAUUUUUCUAGAUCACGCUUACUCAUGGACUAUGGCCUGGAACUCUUUUUAGAUUCCUGGUACGCUGGAGAACUUUGGAACAGCUUGAGAAGCCAUCCCUGUUUUAAGGAAUUAGUUGGCAGACGCAUGUUGCAUGAUGAUGUUUACAGCCUUGCGAAGGUUCUCUCUGACCUGAGUGUUGGUAGACAAAUGCCAUUGUGGGAAGACUUGAAGCAGUGCAAUAUUCCCCUUCUGCUCGUUGUUGGGGAGAAAGAUAAGAAGUUCCGGGUAAUUUCCCAAAAGAUGUGCUAUGAAAUUAGCCAAUUUAGAAAGGGCAGAAAUGAAAUUGGAAACAAUUUUCCUGAGAUAGUUGAGGUUCCUAACUGUGGGCAUGCUGUACAUUUGGAGAAUCCUCUUGCUGUUAUCUGGAAAUUGAGACAAUUUCUGACCAAGCUAAGAAAGUUUUCCACUCUGGAGUACAGUGAAAAGAUGCACCAAUCCACUACUGUUGACAAUCCAAUCUGAUAGGGAAUGCUGAUCCAUAUGAUUAUGAAGUCCAGCUGGAAAAAGGAGCUCUGGCAGAGGAAGAGUGGCAUUGGUAACUGCAAUUUUUUGUUCUAUGUGAAUCACUUUUUUGGCUGAAAUCAUGGCUGAAACACAAAGAGAGGAGGGGAACUUGAAGGCUUUGUAGCUGCUACGAUAGAGAGAAACGUAAAUCAAAACAAUGUUUUUUUGUCUUUCCAUUCCCACUUAUGCAGACUUCAUUGACUGUUUUCCAUCAUGGACACCCGCGAUUUGAUUUAGUCUUUUUCCUGUCUCUGAUAUGUUUCUGUUUCUAUGUUUAUCUUCAAAGUGAUUUUUGUUUUGUGCUAUAAGGUUUGCCUGUGGAUUAUUAUAUUACACUUCUCUAAUUUCUUCUUUUGCUCAGGAAUGGCGUGUUCACUGAAGCAAA